AGUUCUUAAACGUGGUUCGCCUGAUUCAAACGUUAUUUUGUUUUACGGUCAGCCUGGUCUCAGUUUGUAUCAGGAGCAUUAUGGAUUUCUUUGGCUAUUAUGCGGAUAAGCGUGAAGACGAAGAUGAUCUCGUUUGCCAGUAUGAUUCGACCUGGGAAGACGCGGAAAGCGAGUCUGACGAAGACAGCUCGACUGAUCAAACAAUAGUGUGCGGCUUUAAUUUUUUCAGCAGAACUUCUGACAAGGACACAUACCGCUAUGGCUACAGAAAUUCAGGGGGAAGAAAUAUUCGGGCUGCCCAGGACAUGCAAAACUAUCGACAUGGGUAUCCAGUAAGGCC